CAGUAGCCACGGUAAUACAGAGGGUGCGAGCGUUAAUCGGAUUUACUGGGCGUAAAGCGUGCGUAGGCGGCUAAUUGAGUCGGAUGUGAAAUCCCCGAGCUUAACUUGGGAAUUGCAUUCGAUACUGGUUAGCUAGAGUGUGGGAGAGGAUGGUAGAAUUCCAGGUGUAGCGGUGAAAUGCGUAGAGAUCUGGAGGAAUACCGAUGGCGAAGGCAGCCAUCUGGCCUAAUACUGACGCUGAGGUACGAAAGCAUGGGGAGCAAACAGGAUUAGAUACCCCUGUAGUCCCUGUCUCUUAUAA
rnacentral:rRNA from 1 species